CAGUAAAAGGUUGAACUAUAGAAGCAAUGAUGUGUUGUAAAAACUGGAUAUAAAAUUAUCUCAGCACAGGUAAACUAAUUCUAAUUUCGAUUCGCUAAUUUUUUCAUUUGAAGUUGUUUUAAAUUAUGCUUUACUAAAUACUAACUAACUUCUUGUUCUGCCUUGUAAGGAUAACGGAAGCGGAGAAGCAGCAUUUGGAAGGAGUUUUCUCAGCCUUGGCAAUGGAGGAUGUCACGGUGGAAGACAGUUAUGUUUCAGAUUCAAUUUGGUCUUUUUUCACCAUCUCAACGUUGAAGAAACACUAACGAUAGGUUUGAAUUGUGUUCUAACAGAUGGAGAUGGUACAAAUCUACAAGGCAAAGGGGAUGAAGAUGAGAUAGAACCUAUUACAAACCUUGACAAUUAGGUUAAGGUUUGUCUUGUAACUAUGGUUUGCAAUGGUUAUUGCAUUACUUAUAUAGGUCAAAGUCAAACUUAUAAGCGACAGCGUUGUUUUGCAUAUGUGGUCUUUCAAUUGAGUCUGAUGAGUGAUGAAUCGAUAAUGGAUCAAAUGAUUGAUGACUAAAAGACCAACUGAAAUAUAGAAGUUUACAAUGCAUUAGUACUUUAUCUGCUUUUUUGAACUACCACAUCACAGUCCACAGUAUAAAUGUUAAUAAUUCCUGUCUAGUUGACUUA
rnacentral:lncRNA from 1 species